CUCGAGUCAGGAGACGCGGCUUCAUUCUGCAUCCCUUCGCACGCAGUUCUUAGAGACCCACCUCUAAGGAACACAUGGAAACCAGAGCGGGUGGCUUCCUGGGGCGGGGCAUCAACUGAGCUGCGACCUUCGCUUGCUUUCUCUGUGGAUCCCUCCUCCAGGGGAAGGUCAGCUGCCACUGGACGAAGAUACACAGCAGCCCCAGGGCAGCCUUGGGGUGACUGAGGCUCUGGUUUUGAGACAAGGUCUCACUACCUGCCUUGAAUUUUGAGAUCCUCCUGCUUCAGCCUCCUGAGUGCUGGGAUUACAGGAAAGUGACACCAUUCCUAGCUGAUGGGGACAACGCCCACCUCCUGGGUUACUGUUAAGACGAGGACUAUGACCACACGGGUCACACCAAACACAAUACUUGGCCCAGCUGCUCCCCCUGCCUCGCCGCAGAAAUCGCCUGUCCCAUGCAUGAAGAGCACCUCAUCAGCAAACUCUGACCCAAGCACUCAGAAUAAGCCUUCUUUGUUCAGGUGCUGAGGAUCUCAGCUCCGUCUUGAAUUUUGUAACUACAGGAAUAAAUGUUUAAAGUACCUGGGUGUGGUUUGCUAACACAAUUAAAAAAUUUUUUGAGGGGGCAACCCACUUUCUAGUCCCUUCUGUCUCUUAGACAGCAGCUUUCUCUCAGUACAAUUUUCCUCUUAAACUGAAAAAAAAAAAAAAAAGAAAUUUUUUUUUUUGAGACAGGGUCUCACUAUGCUGUCCAGGCUGGCCUCAAACUUUCCAUCCUCCUGGCUCAGCCUCUCGUCACUGGGACUGCAGGAAUACACCACCAGGCCUGGCAACCAACACACUGGGACAGUAUCUGUCACAGGAUAAACUCAAUAUUAAGUUUAUUAAAUCAAUGAC
rnacentral:lncRNA from 1 species